rnacentral:rRNA from 1 species
GCGAACGCUGGCGGCGUGCUUAACACAUGCAAGUCGAACGGAAAGGCCCUGCUUUUGUGGGGUGCUCGAGUGGCGAACGGGUGAGUAACACGUGAGUAACCUGCCCUUGACUUUGGGAUAACUUCAGGAAACUGGGGCUAAUACCGGAUAGGAGCUCCUGCUGCAUGGUGGGGGUUGGAAAGUUUCGGCGGUUGGGGAUGGACUCGCGGCUUAUCAGCUUGUUGGUGGGGUAGUGGCUUACCAAGGCUUUGACGGGUAGCCGGCCUGAGAGGGUGACCGGCCACAUUGGGACUGAGAUACGGCCCAGACUCCUACGGGAGGCAGCAGUGGGGAAUAUUGCACAAUGGGCGGAAGCCUGAUGCAGCAACGCCGCGUGCGGGAUGACGGCCUUCGGGUUGUAAACCGCUUUCGCCUGUGACGAAGCGUGAGUGACGGUAAUGGGUAAAGAAGCACCGGCUAACUACGUG